UACGUAGGGGGCAAGCGUUGUCCGGAAUCAUUGGGCGUAAAGAGCGUGUAGGCGGCUCGGUAAGUCCGCUGUGAAAGUCCAGGGCUCAACCCUGGAAUGCCGGUGGAAACUGUCGAGCUAGAGUCCGGAAGAGGCGAGUGGAAUUCCUGGUGUAGCGGUGAAAUGCGCAGAUAUCAGGAGGAACACCGAUGGCGAAGGCAGGUCUCUGGGCAUUAACUGACGCUGAGGAGCGAAAGCAUGGGGAGCGAACAGG
rnacentral:rRNA from 1 species